UGCAGAUUCUCUAUAGUCGCGCUUAUAGACUAUAGUCCGCUACAUAUUUUAUAUCUUAUCAGUUAUAUCAUGUAACUUUUUUCUUAAAUAGAAAUGCGGUCUACUUUAAAUAAAGCAAAAUGAAACAAUAAAUUUGUAAAUUAUAGCGCUAUGUUUUGGUCUUGGGAGAUAUCCCACUAAAGGGAUGAUCAAUUUUAUUACGAUAGAUAUACAGUUCUUUUACUGUUACGUUAUCCGAGUGACCUAGCCACAGGAACGCAAGAAUUAAUUAUUAAUAUGGAUGAAAAAUUCGAUAGACAGAUACUGAUUUUAUCAUAUGUUUCAGCAUGAUAAAAUAAAGAAUUUGUACAUAAAUUUAUGUAAUUUUAAUCAUUUUAUAAAUCUUGGCUAUAUACAAACCAAUAAUAUCGACUCUUAUAGUUAAGGUAUUUAACCAUAAAUAAUUACUGACUAAAUAAAAACCUUCGACAUAUCUUCAAAAGAUUCUUUAUACUUAUCGUACUAAAAUUUUGAUCCUUAUUUUUAAAAUUUUUACUUUUAUCAAUUAUCAUUUGAUAUAUCACUCGUUUAAAUGGUGUAAUAUUUACCUUUAUUAUUGAUAUAAAUUUGUGAAAAUAAAUGAAGUUAACAAACAAGUAAAAGGAUUGAUUAAAUUGAUAUGCAACGUAUGUUAUGAAUCAUUUUUUAUUUCAGUGUUGUAUGUGUUGAAGGUUCGGAUUAUUAAAAUAUUCACAUCAUUAAUCAUGUAAUACAUAUAUAUGUAUGUACAUUCGUAUUUUAGUCGAACAAACCAAAUCCCAUAUCUUCGUCUUCUGACUCAGAUUCCUCUUUCUUUUCUUCUUUCUUU